rnacentral:rRNA from 1 species
AUGCAAGUCGAACGCUUCUUUUUCCACCGGAGCUUGCUCCACCGGAAAAAGAGGAGUGGCGAACGGGUGAGUAACACGUGGGUAACCUGCCCAUCAGAAGGGGAUAACACUUGGAAACAGGUGCUAAUACCGUAUAACAAUCGAAACCGCAUGGUUUUGAUUUGAAAGGCGCUUUCGGGUGUCGCUGAUGGAUGGACCCGCGGUGCAUUAGCUAGUUGGUGAGGUAACGGCUCACCAAGGCCACGAUGCAUAGCCGACCUGAGAGGGUGAUCGGCCACAUUGGGACUGAGACACGGCCCAAACUCCUACGGGAGGCAGCAGUAGGGAAUCUUCGGCAAUGGACGAAAGUCUGACCGAGCAACGCCGCGUGAGUGAAGAAGGUUUUCGGAUCGUAAAACUCUGUUGUUAGAGAAGAACAAGGAUGAGAGUAACUGUUCAUCCCUUGACGGUAUCUAACCAGAAAGCCACGGCUAACUACGUGCCAGCAGCCGCGGUAAUACGUAGGUGGCAAGCGUUGUCCGGAUUUAUUGGGCGUAAAGCGAGCGCAGGCGGUUUCUUAAGUCUGAUGUGAAAGCCCCCGGCUCAACCGGGGAGGGUCAUUGGAAACUGGGAGACUUGAGUGCAGAAGAGGAGAGUGGAAUUCCAUGUGUAGCGGUGAAAUGCGUAGAUAUAUGGAGGAACACCAGUGGCGAAGGCGGCUCUCUGGUCUGUAACUGACGCUGAGGCUCGAAAGCGUGGGGAGCAAACAGGAUUAGAUACCCUGGUAGUCCACGCCGUAAACGAUGAGUGCUAAGUGUUGGAGGGUUUCCGCCCUUCAGUGCUGCAGCUAACGCAUUAAGCACUCCGCCUGGGGAGUACGACCGCAAGGUUGAAACUCAAAGGAAUUGACGGGGGCCCGCACAAGCGGUGGAGCAUGUGGUUUAAUUCGAAGCAACGCGAAGAACCUUACCAGGUCUUGACAUCCUUUGACCACUCUAGAGAUAGAGCUUCCCCUUCGGGGGCAAAGUGACAGGUGGUGCAUGGUUGUCGUCAGCUCGUGUCGUGAGAUGUUGGGUUAAGUCCCGCAACGAGCGCAACCCUUAUUGUUAGUUGCCAUCAUUCAGUUGGGCACUCUAGCAAGACUGCCGGUGACAAACCGGAGGAAGGUGGGGAUGACGUCAAAUCAUCAUGCCCCUUAU